CACGUAGGGCGCAAGCGUUGUCCGGAAUUAUUGGGCGUAAAGAGCUCGUAGGCGGACUGUUGCGUCCGCUGUGAAAAGCUGGGGCUUAACCCUGGCCUUGCAGUGGAUACGGGCAGACUAGAGGUAGGUAGGGGAGAAUGGAAUCCCCGGUGUAGCGGUGAAAUGCGCAGAUAUCGGGAGGAACACCGGUGGCGAAGGCGGUUCUCUGGGCCUUACCUGACGCUGAGGAGCGAAAGCUAGGGGAGCGAACAGG
rnacentral:rRNA from 1 species